CUAUACCCCUGUGUGCUCGUUUGUUAGACUCUUGAAACGUGCAAAACAAGUAAUAGUAUGGCGGUAAAAUCGGGUCCAAAUGUCAGGUCACUUUCCAGAUACCCUGUAGAAGAUUCUUGGAGCUGUAAAAAAACCUUCGAAAACAGAUUACUCAAUAUGAGCUUUUUCAAGGGAGUAUGAUCUUACUUUGGACGAUAUGAGAGACCUUACUGUAGAGAGAGUUCAUUUUCUACUGAAGUUACCACAAACCCAACCACAUCUCCAAGACCAGAUGGGAAUCGUGUGCGGAUUAUUUGGAGGAUUGGUCACAAAUCUUGUAAGCCCUGAGCAGAAUGCAAAGUGGUAUCUACCAGCCAAGGUUUGGCUUGGUGUCGCCUGAUGGAGUUUCAGUCACCCAUCAAAAACAAAGAUGUCCGAUUCAGCACUAUGUUAGCUACCCUUACUCAAGAUUGCAAGAUUGGCUUUGACUGUCCAGGCCAUGGUGGCCAUGAAGAACUCUCCACACUGGACAGAGCGACGCAAAGUCGCCGAUGUCAAUCCACACCAGACGCGACUUGGAAAUGAUCCAAAAGACUGGAAAUAAAUACAUCACCCCUCUCAUGCAUUUCUAUUGGACAUACUAGAGAUGGACUGUCCCAUUACAAAACAGGUUUUGUUUUGAUAAAAGAUUACCAGCCUGACCUCCGGCAACUCUGUUGUAAAAUAAAGGUUGGACUUGUAAAAUCUAUAAAUCAAAGUUAUUGAACAUCCCUAUAUAUCCAACAGUUUUACUGCUAAUAGUAAUUGUGCAGUAGUUUUUAAAAAAAAAAAAAAUUUUUUUUUUUUUUUUUUUUUUUUUUGCGCUACCAGUCGUAGUAGUAGUCUGA